AGAAAGGACCUAAAUACCUUGAAUGCACUAGAGCCCAUCUGAUCUUGAAUGUUAAGCAGGGCCACCACUGGUUAGUAACUUGGAUGGGAGAGCACCAACAACUACUAAGGCCAUUUCUA
rnacentral:rRNA from 11 species